UGCCAGACUCCUACGGGAGGCAGCAGUGAGGAAUAUUGGUCAAUGGACGAGAGUCUGAACCAGCCAAGUAGCGUGAAGGAUGACUGCCCUAUGGGUUGUAAACUUCUUUUAUAUGGGAAUAAAACAGGGUAUGCAUACCCUCUUGUAUGUACCAUAUGAAUAAGGAUCGGCUAACUCCGUGCCAGCAGCCGCGGUAAUACGGAGGAUCCGAGCGUUAUCCGGAUUUAUUGGGUUUAAAGGGAGCGUAGGCCGGUCUUUAAGCGUGCCGUGAAAUUUUGUGGCUCAACCAUGAGAGUGCGGCGCGAACUGGAGACCUUGAGUGCGCGGAAGGCAGGCGGAAUUCGUGGUGUAGCGGUGAAAUGCUUAGAUAUCACGAAGAGCCCCGAUUGCGAAGGCAGCCUGCCGCAGCGUUACUGACGCUGAAGCUCGAAAGCGCGGGUAUCGAACAGGAUUAGAUACCCCAGUAAG
rnacentral:rRNA from 1 species